GUGUAUUGUCUCUUUAAAGGAGAAAUAAACUUCAGAACUUCAGUGAGUGUUCUAGGAGAGGACUUCAGGGGACGUCUUGGGGGAACUCGGGAGUUGGGGUUCACUAUUUGUUACCUACAAGUAUCUCUAACAGGUGGCCGCACUGAUGCCUCUCAGCCUACAGUUUGAUGCCUUGUAGCUUUCUUCCUGGCUGAGAAAUGUCACAGAUGGAAAUGAGCAGUUUCAUCUCUUCCUGCCAGCUGUACAGUGAUCAUGUGGUGGCAAUCGCUUCAGCCUGCCUGGGACUAUGGAGUAGAAGUUGCAUAGGAGUAUUCCCAGAUGGAAGCUGGAACUGUUACUUCUUCUCUGGUCUCCACGACAGCAAACCUGGACUCCAGUCUCUGGAAACAAAAGCAUAGAGAUCCAUGUCUGUGUACACACACACAUGUAUACCUCCAUUGUUUAAAUGCAGCAUCUCCAUCAGAAGCCCAUCUUCUUCAUGCUCUAAGGACUGCAAUAAUAAUAUCGACCUCUUUUAUAGCACUUUUCAUCAGUCAAUAUCAAAACCCUUUGCCAAAGAGUGAAUCAAGCCUCAGCCACUGCGAUAAUUCCAAGCCAGUGAGAACUCCCAUCUGAAAUCUUCUUUUGGUAUAAAAAUGAAUCAAUUCCUGCCAUGUGAAUAUGCCUGUUUUACUUCAGUCUUUGCUUACC